CAUACACACGGGCACUCGCCCACCCAUGCCGUUGUUAACAUAUGCAGGCUCCGCCGUAGCAGUGCGGAUAUGGCAGUUCCUUCGUUGCUCUUUGUUUUUUGCUUUUCGUGGCGGCUGCCGGCAGCGAAGCAAGUCAGCGUCUUUUGCCUAGUCGUUAUUCUCCCUCUUCUCUUCCACAGCCCCGUCGCCUUCUUCUGUGGGUGUGUGUGUUUUCUCAACUACUAGUCACUGUUGUUCGCGUGUUGGUCUGGUAUCUCUGUUGCCGCCGUGGCUUGCAGAGGGAGAGGUGGGAGUUGAUAUGUGGCUAGUGCCCAUCGAGAGGGGUGGGCCUUCGUGGGUUGCCGUGGGUGUGUGCGGUGGAGGUGCAGUGCUUGUGCUCCUCUUGCAGCAGCUGCACACAUGCCACUCCACCACAUGCGUACACACCGACGCGCUCCUGUGCAUCCCAGGCAAAACAAAGGAAGAGGCGAAAGGUACAAGUGCGCAUGCGCGCGCGUUUCUUCUUCGCGCCGACCUCCUCGGGCUCGAGGGAGUUUUCUCCCGCCGUGAUGCGCUGGCACCCUCCACGGUGUGCGGGACGCCAUGCGGUAGCGCUGGGGGCGGGCCGUUGAUGUCAGGGAACGCAAAGCGGCUGAAGAGACGUGGCGGUGAUGCUGCUCCCUCCCAUACGGGUAUCACGCAACCCGCGGCAAAGCCGGCUCUGCUACCAGGGGCUUAAACACACGAAUUUCUGUCGGCAUUGUAGGGAAGCACGGCCGCCUAUCUCUUCGAUGAUGCACGUCUCGUACAUUCAACCCCUUGCCUUCUUCGUUAUCCGAUCUCUUCAUUUUCCUCCACUCUUGCCUCGAGAACACAG
rnacentral:misc_RNA from 1 species